GUAUGGUGCAAGCGUUAUCCGGAUUUACUGGGUGUAAAGGGAGCGUAGACGGAGUGGCAAGUCUGAUGUGAAAACCCGGGGCUCAACCCCGGGACUGCAUUGGAAACUGUCAAUCUAGAGUACCGGAGAGGUAAGCGGAAUUCCUAGUGUAGCGGUGAAAUGCGUAGAUAUUAGGAGGAACACCAGUGGCGAAGGCGGCUUACUGGACGGUAACUGACGUUGAGGCUCGAAAGCGUGGGGAGCAAACAGGAUUAGAUACCCUGGUAGUCCACGCCGUAAACGAUGACUACUAGAUGUCGGGCAGCAAAGCUGUUCGGUGCCGCANCAAACGCAAUAAGUAGUCCACCUGGGGAGU
rnacentral:rRNA from 1 species